rnacentral:rRNA from 1 species
CCUACGGGAGGCAGCAGUGGGGAAUAUUGGACAAUGGGGGCAACCCUGAUCCAGCCAUGCCGCGUGUGUGAAGAAGGCCCUCGGGUUGUAAAGCACUUUCAGUGAGGAAGAACGCCUGGUGGUUAAUACCCAUCAGGAAAGACAUCACUCACAGAAGAAGCACCGGCUAACUCCGUGCCAGCAGCCGCGGUAAUACGGAGGGUGCGAGCGUUAAUCGGAAUUACUGGGCGUAAAGCGCGCGUAGGUGGCUUGAUAAGCCGGUUGUGAAAGCCCCGGGCUCAACCUGGGAACGGCAUCCGGAACUGUCAAGCUAGAGUGCAGGAGAGGAAGGUAGAAUUCCCGGUGUAGCGGUGAAAUGCGUAGAGAUCGGGAGGAAUACCAGUGGCGAAGGCGGCCUUCUGGACUGACACUGACUCUGAGGUGCGAAAGCGUGGGUAGCAAACAGGAUUAGAUACCCUAGUAGUC